UUGCACGUAACGUCGUGACUGCGUGCCUUUUGAAGAAUGAGCCUGCGAGUUUGCGGCAUGUUGCGAGGUUAACCCGUGUGGGGGAGCCGUAGCGAAAGCGAGUCCGAAGAGGGCGUUUGAGUAGCGUGUUCAAGACCCGAAGCGGAGUGAUCUAGCCAUGGGCAGGGUGAAGCGCGGGUAAGACCGUGUGGAGGCCCGAACCCACCAGGGUUGAAAACCUGGGGGAUGACCUGUGGUUAGGGGUGAAAGGCCAAUCAAACUCCGUGAUAGCUGGUUCUCCCCGAAAUGCAUUUAGGUGCAGCGUCGUGUGUUUCUUGCCGGAGGUAGAGCACUGGAUAGGCGAUGGGCCCUACCGGGUUACUGACCUUAGCCAAACUCCGAAUGCCGGUAAGUGAGAGCGCGGCAGUGAGACUGUGGGGGAUAAGCUCCAUGGUCGAGAGGGAAACAGCCCAGAGCAUCGACUAAGGCCCCUAAGCGUGUGCUAAGUGGGAAAGGAUGUGGAGUCGCAGAGACAACCAGGAGGUUGGCUUAGAAGCAGCCAUCCUUGAAAGAGUGCGUAAUAGCUCACUGGUCAAGUGAUUCCGCGCCGAUAAUGUAGCGGGGCUCAAGUACACCGCCGAAGUCGUGUCACUC
rnacentral:rRNA from 1 species